AAACUCAGAGAGAAGUUUGGAAAGGUAAAAGAAAGAGAGGAAGAGACGAAACCAACAAAUGCUAUUGCUCUGCCUGCCCCCUCUUCAAGCUCUUCUUCCUCUUCCUCUUCCUCAUUUUCUUCCUCAUUUUCUUCCUCGUCGUCGUGAUCUUCGUUUAGUUUGGAGGAAGGA
rnacentral:ribozyme from 13 species